rnacentral:lncRNA from 1 species
ACUCGGAUACGUACGUACUGCUAGAGGCAGGACAAGAUGAACAGUUUGUGUCAGAAGACGAGCUCAAGGCUAAGCUCAAAGGCUGGCUCGAGAACUGGCCUGUAGAAUCUUUGCCACCGGACCUGGCAAGGUUCGAUAACCUUGAUGAAGCCGUUGAUUUCUUGGUUAAAGCUGUAUGUGAACUAGAGGUUUAUGGAGAAGUAGGUUCUGUUCAAUGGUAUCAAGUUCGUCUUGAGUAAUUAAAUGUAUUGUGUUUCUCUUAUUUAAUAAGCACAUGGUUCUGUAAGAAAAAUGGAGAAAUUUGCUUCUUCUUUUUUUUUUGUAACUAAUGGAGAAAUUUGCUAAAAUAGAACAAAAUUGACUACUAUUGUUCUAAUGAGAUAAUCUCAAUGUUGUUCCAUUAGUAUAGUGUCUACUGUAAUUCUAACUUCCUUUAUAUCUGUUGUACUAAAAGGACAAUAACCUAAGUGUUCAGUCUGUCCACCUAAGAAAAUUUAAUUAGCCCAUCCAGGGGCUACCAAACUUCAUUGUUUUUAACAAAAUCUUGGUGUAUGUAUUAAGAUGGAGAUAAAGAGUGGAAAACGGAGGACACAAAUCAUUAUGUUUAGAUCUCUGUUAGUGAUUAGUACGUUAAAGUGUCUGUUGAGACUGUUAAAAUUCUUCAUGAUAUUCAAAUGUACAACCGAAUCUUCGGUGGACGAUAAAGGAGUUUAAGUUCAGGUACAUGUUAUACACGUCCAUUGAUGUGUGCUUGUGAUAAGACACGAACUGAAAGUACAUUAGUUUGGUUAAACUGAUAUAUCUUGAGCUGUAAUGUCAUUUGGAUUCAUUUUCUCUUGGCAGAGGAUGCAAGACCUCCCCUUCUUACUACGGGAAUGCUGGAUUCACAAAGAACACUUUCAAUUGUCAUCAGAGCUUGGGUUUACAAUUCAGUUAAUUUAAACAUCAUUCUUAAGCUUUGAUCUCUCUUCUUACACUUAUGAGACACAAUUGCAGAAGGUAGCCAGCAAGCAAAUCCUUGACUUCUGUAAUGAUACUGAUCCAAUGGGAGUCAAGAGACAUUGAAGCAAAUCAGUGUUCUUUGAUGCAAGCAGCCUAGCUAAAAACCUGAGGCAGCUAGAAGCAAAGUAUGGCAAAGACAAAUGAGAGAUACUCAACAAAGUGUGGGUGGAACUUCUCUGUUAUACAGUGUGUCAUUGCGAUUCUACAGCUCCUAUGGAGUUACCAACUCAGUAGAGGGUGAGCUAAUCAACUUCUUUUGGCUUCUAUUGGCAAGUGAUCAAAACACAUUUUGCAGUGUAUUAUUCAAUCUUGCACAGAAAUGUUUGUUUGUUUUAUGAUGGAACCUUGUGAGGUCUAUGAUGUGAUCAUGGACCAACUAGCUAAUGGAGAUGAUGAGGAUCUGGAUAAGCCGACUGAUGGAGAUGUUCUAGUCUUGCCACAAGGACCUAUGACUCGAUCAAGAUCAAGGAAGCUCACGCAAGUUAUUGGAGGAUUGGUUAAGAUGUCAUGGAAGCAAGAGGAAUGUCUUGGUAGAAGCUUGAUCAACCAAGACACACUUAUCACCAUUCAAGCUACUUCACCAUCAAGCUGAUCAUCAACUAGGCAAGCAAUCUAUGCGUGCUCUUUUUCCCUAUCUUUGGUUUUGUCCCAAUGGGUUUUCCAAAGAUAGGUUUUUAACGAGGCCAUAGAUUUGCUUCUCAAAACCCUUAGUUGAUGAUCUCGAUCCAACCUUAUCCCGGAUCAACCUUAUGUUAUAUUAUGUCUUUCAUUUCAUGUUUUCAAACUUGUCUUUUGUUUCUAUUUCCAAGAGAGCGUGUGCUUUUACUCUCUUGAUAGUUUUCGAGAAGCUUGGAGUCUGUUCCAACUUCUCUUAUAUAAGUGUGCUUUGAACCCCUUUAUGAAUAUCAAUUAUCUUUUUAUCAAAACCUUUCUUUGUUCUCUCUACUGCUUGUCCGCGAGUUGUUGAGUGUUCUUGUUGGUGUGUAGUAUCCAACAACCCAAGAGUGUCUAUCUCGGUGUGUCAUAUCCGAUCUAGUCACUUAGGAGUAUCAAGGAGCCUUUCCGAGUAACUAUUUCCUUCUCUUUAUUGAUGACUUUUCAAGAAAAACAUGGGUUUACUUUUUGAAACAAAAAUCAGAAGUGUUUGAAAAUUUCAAAAAGUUCAAAGCCCAUGUUGAGAAAGAAAGUGGUCUUAAGAUCAAGUCCAUGAGAUCGGACCGAGGAGGAGAAUUUAUGUCAAAAGAGUUUCUGAAAUAUUGUGAAGAUAAUGGCAUCCGAAGACAGUUGACGGUGCCAAGAACCCCUCAACAAAAUGGAGUAGCGGAAAGAAAGAAUAGGACAAUACUUGAGAUGGCAAAAAGCAUGCUCAAGAGUAAGAAGCUACCAAAGGAGUUGUGGGCAGAAGCAGUUGCUUGUGCGGUUUAUAUAUCAAACCGUUCUCCAACAAAGAGUGUUUUAGAAAAGACACCACAAGAAGCCUGAAGCGGAAGGAAGCCUGGAGUCUCACACCUAAGAGUCUUUGGAAGCAUUGCUCAUGCUCAUGUUCCAGACGAGAAGAGGAGCAAACUAGAUGAUAAAAGUGAGAAGUAUAUCUUCAUUGGGUAUGAUGCUAACUCUAAAGGCUACAAGCUCUACAAUUCUGAAACAAAGAAGACAAUCAUUAGUAGGAAUGUCAUCUUUGAUGAAGAAGGAGAAUGAGAUUGGAGAUCAAAUAAUGAAGACUAUAACUUUUUUCCAUCCUUUGAAGACGAGAAUGUGGAGAAACUGAGAGAAGAGCCAGCUACACCACCAACCUCACCAACAACAAGUUCUCAAGGAGAUGAAAGCUCAAGUGAAAUGGACAAUCGGCAUGAGAAUUGAUAAAAGUAAAACUAAAAUGGUCUAAUUUUUAUGAUUUUUAUUGGAUAAAAACUAAUUAUGGAAAAGGACAACUAUAUUUGGGCCAAUUAAGGUCAUUAACGGCCCAUUAAUAUAUAGAUUUCACUAGAAAUUAUGAGAAAAAUCCGUUGGUGUAUGCUAGUCGUCAUAUCAUCUUAUCUACAAGAAGCUUAUAUUGCUCCUACUACAAUACAAAAGAGUGUUGAAGUAUUUUUGCCAGGAAAUCAAAAUGGAGAUUUCUCUGCAGAAACAUUUUUUUAACAGUGGAGAUAAGCUCUUCAACUGUAAGCUCGUAAUACUUUUCUUCUUCAACUAGACUUUUGUCUUCUCACCCUAACAAAUUGAUUUUUCAACUUCCUUGUUUCUUUAUUUACUCUCAGCUCGACAAAACCAGUGGGCUUGGAUUGAAAGAUUUCAAGCAACAGAAUUUCUUCCUGCAAACUCCACAAACCUUUUUCAUGAUCCCAUAAGUUGUCCAAUGUUGGGCAUUUUGACUCCAAGAAAGAGCAAAAACCAUUUAAGUGUAAGUGUUGAUAUAUAAACUGAAUUUUGAUAGUAAAACAUUGCUAAAAUUUUCAGAAAUUAAUAUAUCUAUAAAUAUAUAUAUGUAUGUAUAAGUUUCAUUGGAACCCAGAAAAUGCUUUUGCUAUUAAACAGAACUUGUAUAAGUUUCAUUGGAACCCAGAAAAUGCUUUUGCUAUUAAACAGAACUUUACCAUUUAUUUUAAUUUACCGGAUCGUUGAUUAAUUAAAUUCAAAGACAUUUUGUGGUUUAGAACAAAAAGACAAAGAUUUUUUUGGUUUGUCAUUUGAAUUUUACAAUAAAAUCACUUAAUAGGUUUUGUUAUUUUAUUUGGCAUAUUUUUCAUUUUCUAAUUUCUAUGAUUCUAUUACUUCUUAACCAUACCCUAUGUUAGCUAAAUUCAUUAGUUGCAUAGAGAAUUUUUUUUGAAAAGAUCUUGAUAAAUAUUUGAACUUAAAUAAACGGAUGUGAAUAUAUAACUUAGGUUUGUGCACAGGUUUCUGCAAUAAGGAGCAGAAGAGUGCAUUCGAACUCGGAUACGUACGUACUGCUAGAGGCAGGACAAGAUGAACAGUUUGUGUCAGAAGACGAGCUCAAGGCUAAGCUCAAAGGCUGGCUCGAGAACUGGCCUGUAGAAUCUUUGCCACCGGACCUGGCAAGGUUCGAUAACCUUGAUGAAGCCGUUGAUUUCUUGGUUAAAGCUGUAUGUGAACUAGAGGUUUAUGGAGAAGUAGGUUCUGUUCAAUGGUAUCAAGUUCGUCUUGAGUAAUUAAAU